rnacentral:rRNA from 1 species
UACGGAGGGUGCAAGCGUUAUCCGGAUUCACUGGGCGUAAAGCGUCUGUAGGUUGUUUAAAAAGUCUGCAGUUAAAGGUUGAAGCUUAACUUCAAAAAUGCCGUAGAAACUUUUAAACUAAGAGGAUGGUAGGGGUAGAGGGAAUUUCCAGUGGAGCGGUGAAAUGUGUAGAUAUUGGAAAGACCACCGAUGGCGAAGGCACUCUACUGGGCCAUGACUGACACUGGAGAGACGAAAGCUAGGGGAGCAAAUGGG